UACGGAGGGGGCGAGCGUUGAUCGGAAUUACUGGGCGUAAAGCGCACGCAGGUGGCGUCAUAAGUCAGGUGUGAAAUCCCGGGGCUCAACCUCGGAAUUGCAUUUGAUACUGUCUUGCUGGAGUACGGGAGAGGAGGGUGGAAUUCCUAGUGUAGCGGUGAAAUUCGUAGAUAUCAGGAAGAACACCAGUGGCGAAGGCGGCUCUCUGGUCCGGUACUGACUCUCAAGUGCGAAAGCGUGGGGAGCAAACAGG
rnacentral:rRNA from 1 species